rfam:Camelus ferus unplaced genomic scaffold scaffold205, whole genome shotgun sequence.
GAGGGUAUAGCUCAGUGGUAGAGUAGCUGCUUAGCAUGCACAAGGUCCUGGGUUCAAUACCCAGUACCUCCA